rnacentral:rRNA from 1 species
CCUACGGGAGGCUGCAGUGGGGGAUAUUGCACAAUGGGGGGAACCCUGAUGCAGCGACGCCGCGUGGGUGAAGGAGUGCUUCGGCAUGUAAAGCACUAUCGGCAGGGAAGAAGGAAGACGGUACCUGACUAAGAAGCCCCGGCUAACUACGUGGCAGCAGCCGCGGUAAUACGUAGGGGGCGAGCGUUAGCCGGAUGCACUGGGGGUAAAGGGAGCGUAGACGGCCAGGCAAGCCAGGUGUGAAAGCCCCGGGCCCAACCCCGGGACUGCCCUUGGAACUGGAUGGCUGGAGUGCGGGAGGGGCAGGUGGAAUUCCAGGUGUAGCGGUGAAAUGCGUAGAUAUCAGGAGGAACACCGGCGGCGAAGGCGGCCUGCUGGACCGAGACUGACGUUGAGGCUCGAAAGCGUGGGGAGCGAACAGGAUUAGAUACCCUAGUAGUC